GUAAAAAAAUUUUUUAAAAAAAUUGAAAAUGGCAUACAAAGAUGCUGUUGUUGGCGUACAGCAAUAUCCUCAGCCCAUCUCAGAGCUGCCUACCACAAUUGCUUCAACAGAUGGUAUUCAGAGAAGUUCGUGAAGGGUCAAUGGAAGAAAGACGAAUGUGUUUCUAAGUGGCAAAAAUACAGAGCUUGCCUUGCUUUACCUUCCUUCAUUUUGCUCCCUUUUCUUCAAUUAAUUAUUUAAAAUUUUUUUAUUCCAUUCUUACAUAAUCGACUAUUGCUCACAAGAACAUUUGGAUGAUAAGCAGGGUUGGAUCUUUUUUCCUCUCUUCAUUGUGGUAAGAUUCAUAGGGUUGUGUGUUUGAAAUCUGAACAUUUGGUUAAAAUGGUUUUGCACUGGUUUGUGAGUGCUCUGUUUCAUUUGCAAGCAGCCUUUUGUUGAUGUUGUUGUAACCAAGCGCAAGCACUAUUUCUGUGAGCAUUGCGCAUUAAAGGGACAAAGUGGCCAAGUUUAAGCUACUUUUGCAAUUUGUUGAUGUGCAAUCUUAUAACAUUGGUAGAAGGGAAUGGAGGUUGUUGAAUGCCAAAUGAUGAGAGUUACUUUCUGUGCUGCAUAGUUAUCCAAGGUUGUUGGUUUCCAAUGGCUGAUUUGUUCACUUGUGUAAGAUCAUUUGUGACCUUGAGAAGUAAAUGAUUAUACAUGUAAAUCUUUGAUUGUAAUAUUAUUCUAGAGAAAUCUAAUUGAAUUAUAGUAAGCAAUCAUUUUCUAUAAGAAUGAUGUGUUUUUUCUCUCAA